rnacentral:rRNA from 1 species
GAGUUUGAUCCUGGCUCAGAUUGAACGCUGGCGGCAGGCCUAACACAUGCAAGUCGAGCGGUAGAGGAGAAGCUUGCUUCUCUUGAGAGCGGCGGACGGGUGAGUAAUGCCUAGGAAUCUGCCUGGUAGUGGGGAUAACGCUCGGAAACGGACGCUAAUACCGCAUACGUCCUACGGGAGAAAGCAGGGGACCUUCGGGCCUUGGCGCUAUCAGAUGAGCCUAGGUCGGAUUAGGCUAGUUGGUGAGGUAAUGGCUCACCAAGGCGACGAUCCGUAACUGGUCUGAGAGGAUGAUCAGUCACGACUGGAACUGAGACACGGUCCAGACUCCUACGGGAGGCAGCAGUGGGGAAUAUUGGACAAGUGGGCGAAAGCCUGAUCCAGCCAUGCCGCGUGUGUGAAGAAGGUCUUCGGAUUGUAAAGCACUUUAAGUGGGAGGAAGGCAGUAAAUUAAUACUUUAGC